GACGAACGCUGGCGGCGUGCCUAAUACAUGCAAGUCGAGCGAAGUUUUUCUGGUGCUUGCACCGGAAAAACUUAGCGGCGAACGGGUGAGUAACACGUAAAGAACCUGCCUCAUAGACUGGGACAACUAUUGGAAACGAUAGCUAAUACCGGAUAAUAGCAUUAACUGCAUGGUUGAUGUUUAAAAGUCGGUUUUGCUAACACUAUGAGAUGGCUUUGCGGUGCAUUAGCUAGUUGGUGGGGUAAAGGCCUACCAAGGCGACGAUGCAUAGCCGACCUGAGAGGGUGAUCGGCCACACUGGGACUGAGACACGGCCCAGACUCCUACGGGAGGCAGCAGUAGGGAAUCUUCCGCAAUGGGCGAAAGCCUGACGGAGCAACGCCGCGUGAGUGAAGAAGGAUUUCGGUUCGUAAAGCUCUGUUGUUAGGGAAGAAUGAUUGUGUAGUAACUAUACACAGUAGAGACGGUACCUAACCAGAAAGCCACGGCUAACUACGUG
rnacentral:rRNA from 1 species